UACGUAGGGUGCAAGCGUUGUCCGGAAUUAUUGGGCGUAAAGAGCUCGUAGGCGGUCUGUCGCGUCUGGUGUGAAAACUCAGGGCUUAACCCUGAGCUUGCAUCGGAUACGGGCAGACUAGAGUGCGGUAGGGGAGACUGGAAUUCCUGGUGUAGCGGUGAAAUGCGCAGAUAUCAGGAGGAACUCCGGUGGCGAAGGCGGGUCUCUGGGCCGUAACUGACGCUGAGGAGCGAAAGCAUGGGGAGCGAACAGG
rnacentral:rRNA from 1 species